GGGACCAAAAAAAUAUCUUGGUUUCUUUUUGUAGGCAAAGAAGCUGAGAUCAGAGAGGUGAAGUGAUUCAUCUCCACCCGGGUGGAAGAACUAAAAUGAAUUCUGGCUUCUGACCUGAGUCUGUAGCUUUGUCUACUGUACCAUCCUAUCCUUGAUGAAAUUCUUGCAAGAAAUGUCCAGUGAAUCGUCUGUGCUUUUAUUCACUUGUUAAUCAUCAUUAAUUUACUAAGCCCUUAUUUUACCCAGAACUAGUAGUUAGAGGCAAAUUGACAAUGGAGUAAGAGGAAAAAUCCUCACGCUGAAGUCUAAUUCCCUAAGACAAUCAGUCUUUUGGGAGUUGUGUGAGUUUUCUCAUGGUGCUGUAACAAAUUAUCACAAACUUUGCUGAAGACAGCACGUAUUUAUUAUGUACAGUGCCAGAGAUCAGAAAUCUCCAACGAGUCUCACUGGGCUAAACUCAAGGUGUUGGCAGAGCUGUGUUCCUCCCGGAGGCUCCGGGGAAGGAUGCGUUUCCUUGGCUUUUCUAGCUUCUGGAAGCUGCCUACAGUCAUUGGCCCCCGGUGUGAUCCCUCCCUCCGUCUCCAUUGCCCCAUCCUAACUGCCCCCAUCAUCUCUGACACUCUCUUCCCUUUUUCUUUGCCUGCGUGAUGGCAUGCAGCCCACCUGGGUAAUCCGGGAUAACCUCUCCAUCUCAAGACCCAACGUUUAAUUGCCUCUGCAGCUGCCUUUCGACAUGGAAGUUGAGAUAUUUGGAGGUUCUCGGGUUUAGGACUUCACUACCUCUGGAGGACUGUUACUCUGCCUACCACAGAAGUCGCAGACAAAGCAGUCCAGAGACGUCACCAACAAAUGUGAAGAAAGAAAGAUCGCAGAGAACUGAUGCUUGAGCCAAGCUGUGAGGGAUGUGAGAAGUUCACCAGCCAAUGCCGGUGCUUUUGUAAGUGCCUGCUAUGAAAUAGCCUGUUGAAUUCUCAGAACAGCCCCAAGAGGAAGGCAACAUUAUUCUCAGUCCGCGGAAGAGGAAACAGAAACACAAGCAGACUGAGUGCUCCAUGAGGGAAGAACCUGUGUCUUCUUCCUACUGUUUGUCCUGCUCCUGGGACCGCGCCAGGCGCAUGGUAGGUGCUCCAAUAAUAUUGAUGAGUAAGAGGAGGAACGGAGGGGUGGAUGGGUGGUGGAAAAGUUCUCUUGAUUCUAAGUCGUCUCCCAAGGGAGAACCUAUCGAGUCAGGCUGGGGAGAGAGUCGGUGGAGAGACAGAGAGCAAAAAGCAGGCCAGAGAUAACACAGAAGAUCACAGGACACUCCAGAGUAAGCCAUCAUCUUGCCACUGACAAAUCACUUCCCAUCUCCCUGUGAGCUCCCCAGCCCCUCCCGUUCACACCGCAGGGCAGAUGGCAACCCUCCCCGCCACAACAGACUCACACUCUACAGUAAUGAAACUUGUCCCUCCCUCCUUAUGUGUCCCCCCCUUAUGUGUCCCUCCCUCCUUCAGACUCUUCAGCAAACCACAAUUUUACCUUCCCCCGACCACUCCACAUUCCACGGGGAGCCUCAAUCCUUCCUUCCCACAACCACUUCUCAUCCACACCAAGCACCAAAUCUCUGCCACGGCCACUUCACACUUUAUAGUCAUCUCCAAUCAUCCUUCUCACACCCCUUGAUAUGCCAACAAAAGGCAGUUCUCCUUCCAACUGCCUUUUCCAACUGCCCAUACAUGGCAGUGAAUCCCAAUCCUCCCUCCCCAUAAGUCCCUGACGUCCCAGAGUCAACCCAACGUGCCCACCACGAAAACACUUACUGCUCCAUGGUGAACCCCUUCCUAUCUCAAACACUCGACACUUCCCAGUGGAAGUGGGUGGGCUCACCCACCACAACCUCUUCACACUCCACAGUAAACACCCUCAAGUCCUUCACCAAACCCUCCUCUCCACAGCCCUUUGACGCCCACAUGAACCUCCGAGCUUUCUU